rnacentral:rRNA from 1 species
AUGGCCGUGCCGUCCGCCGCGCCCACCCCGCGCUCCCCUCGCCCGGACUCAUCGGCGGCCGCCGACGCGUCGGCCGACGCCGCCCCGUCCCUGGACUUCGGCGACCCGGCCUCCCUCGCCGCCCUCCGCGGCCUCACCGACGCCGGCGCCGCCACCCGCCUGCUCCACGAGUGCGUCGCCUACCAGCGCGCCCUCGACGCCCGCCUCGACGCGCUCCUCGCCCGCCGCCCCGACCUCGACCGCGCCGCCGCCUCCCUGCUCCGCUCCGCCCCGCCGCUCCUCUCGCUCGCCGCCUCCGACGCCGCGGCCCUCAGGGAGUCCUCCUCCUCCACCGCGGCGCUCGCCGAGGCGCUCUCCUCCCGCGUCCGCCACCUCGAUGCGGCCCACUCGCGCGCCGAGUCCGCCCUGGCCCGCGCCGAGGCGGCCCUCGACCGCUCCCGCGCGCUCGACGCCGCGCGCCGCGCCCUGGCCGCCGACGACCUCGCGGCCGCCGCCACCGCCGUGCACGAGUUCCUGGCCAUCGACGCGCGGUUCCCCACCGACGACGACCUCCGCCGCGACCUGCUCGACAUCAAGCGCCGCCUCGAGGGUCUCGCGCGCCGGAGGCUCUCCGCCGCGGUCGACGCCCAGGACCACCCCGCCGUGCUGCGCCUCGUGCGCCUCUUCCCCCUCCUCGACCUCGCGCCCGAGGGCCUCCAGGUCUACGUCGCCUACCUCAAGAAGGUGGUCGCCCUCCGCGCCCGCGCAGACUUCGAGCACCUCACCGACCUAAUCUCUGCAACCCAGCCUACCUCGGAGCGCCCUGAUUUCGUUGGCUGCCUCACCCGUCUCUUCAAGGAUAUUGUGCUCGCUGUUGAGGAGAAUGACGCGGUGCUUCGUGAGCUACGGGGUGAGGAUGGUGUUGCCUAUGCCAUCAUCGAGCUGCAGGAGGAAUGCGACUCGAGGGGCACCCAGAUCCUUCGUCGCUAUGCUGAUUACCGAAAGCUUGCCCGUCUUUCGUCAGAUAUAAACUCCUAUACCAAGAAUCUUCUCUCUGUCAUGGGUUCUGUCACCAAUGCCGCAGGUGGUAGUGAAGGGCCUGACCCCAGGGAGGUUGAGAUUUAUCUAGAGGAGAUUCUUGCAUUGACACAACUGGGUGAAGACUAUACUGAGUUUAUGGUGAACAAGAUCCGUGGACUGAGGGAUGUCAAGCCUGAACUCGGUCCGCAAGCAAUGAAAGCCUUCCGUAAUGGUAGCUUCAAUAAAAUGGAGAAGGAUUUGACUGGGUAUUAUGUGAUCUUGGAGGAGUUCUUCAUGGUGGAAAACAUAAGGAAGGCCAUCCAGAUUGAUGAGCCAGUGCCUGAUGGUCUCACGACCUCAAUGGUCGACGAUGUGUUCUUUCUACUGCAGAGCUGCUGCCGGCGGGCAGCAUUCACUGCAAGCAUCAACUCGCUACUUGCUGUGCUUGGUGGGGCAACGAGCCUACUAAGCAAUGAGUUCCAGGAGGCACUACAGUGGAGAAUGAGGGAGCCAAACUUGGGCGCAAAGCUCUUCUUAGGUGGUGUUGGAGUUCAGAAGACCGGGGAGGAGAUUGCAACUGCGCUGAACAACAUGGAUGUGAGCUCAGAAUAUGUCCUGAAACUCCGCCAUGAGGUCGAGGAGCUCUGUGCAGAGAUUUUCCAUGCUCCUGCUGACCGAGAGAAGAUCAAGUCCUGUUUAUCGGAGCUAGGUGAAAUCAAUGCUUCCUACAAGAAGAUCCUUUAUUCUGGGCUGGAGCACUUAGUGGCAUCUAUUGCGCCUCGCAUUCGUCCUGUCCUUGACACGGUUACCACUGUUAGCUAUGAGCUGGAUGAUGCCGAAUACGGGGAAAAUGAGGUGAACGACCCAUGGGUGCAGAAGCUUCUCCUUGCAGUCGACACUAACGUUACAUGGCUCCAGCCAAUGAUGACAUCGAACAACUACGAUUCCUUUGUGCACCUGGUCAUCGACUUCAUUGUCAAGAGGCUUGAGGUUAUCAUGAUGCAGAAGAGGUUCAACCAGCUUGGUGGCCUGCAGCUCGACAAGGAGGUUCGCUCCCUGAUCAACCAUUUCUCGGAGAUGUCACAGAGGCCAGUGCGAGACAAGUUCUCGAGGCUUUCCCAGAUGUCGACCAUCCUGAACUUCGAGCGCGUGUCUGAGAUACUGGACUUCUGGGGUGACAAUGCUGGGCAUCUGACAUGGCUGUUGACACCUGCGGAGGUGAGGAGGGUCUUAGGGCUUAGGAUCGACUUCAGGCCCGAAGCGAUUUCUGCUUUGAGACUCUAA